CUUGAUUUGUCAAAAGUUACAAACUUUACAAGAUAGACGUAAUCAUAAAACUACAUCGGUGAUGAUAUAUAUUUAUCAACGGAAACUCCAAAAAACGAUUUUACGAGAAGAAGCCAAAGGUGUCAAGGAUAGUAGUGUGAAGUGGAUCACUCAAAUGAGUAACCCAGUUGUUGAGAGGACCUUUUCCGGUGGCCGCUGCUUGAACGGCAAACCCAAGGAAUCCCACCAUGGCAAGACGGGCAUGCUUGAUCUCCGCCAGUUGUAGGAUGGCUUUCUUCUCGGGGUCGGCGGCUAAGUUCAACGGAUCAAACGGACCACCGGGGUAUAACCUCUUUUCAGGAUCAAGCUCAGCGUUUCUUUGAAACUCAAUGUAGCCGAUGAUCAAAACCUCAAUCCAGAUCAAAGUGGUGAUAGAGAAUGGGAGUGGUUGACCAAGGUACGAUGAUCCAUCGAUUAGUUCAACC
rnacentral:lncRNA from 1 species